GACGUAGGGGGCGAGCGUUGUCCGGAUUCAUUGGGCGUAAAGAGCGCGUAGGCGGCUCGGUCAGUCGGAUGUGAAAACCCGUGGCUCAACCACGGGCCUGCAUCCGAUACUGCCGGGCUAGAGGUAGGUAGGGGAGAUCGGAAUUCCUGGUGUAGCGGUGGAAAUGACGCAGAUAUCAGGAGGAACACCGGUGGCGAAGGCGGAUCUCUGGGCCUUACCUGACGCUCAGGCGCGAAAGCUAGGGGAGCGAACUGG
rnacentral:rRNA from 1 species